UACGAAGGUGGCUAGCGUUGUUCGGAUUUAUUGGGCGUAAAGGGUCCGCAGGCGGUUUGAUAAGUCAGGUGUGAAAUCCAACAGCUUAACUGUUGACACGCAUUUGAUACUGUCAGACUAGAGUAUGAGAGGGGUGAGAGGAAUUUCCAGUGUAGGGGUGAAAUCCGUAGAUAUUGGAAAGAACACCGGCCGCGAAGGCGUUUCGCUGGCUCAUUACUGACGCUCAGGGACGAAAGCCAGGGGAGCAAACGGG
rnacentral:rRNA from 1 species